ACGCAAAUUGCGCUCGAGGCUUCGGCCAAGAGCAUGUCUGCCUCAGCGUCGGGUUAAUACUCACAUUUGCACUCCAUCCAGAGUGCACAUGUGGAUCUGGCUGUCUCGGGUUAUUUUAAUUAAUUAACCGGGUCAGCUGAAUUGCAGAUGUCCAGGCAUGGACCGUUAGAUCGGGCCUUUACUGGGUAGGCAAUGUGUUUGCUGUAUUGCUUUAGUAGAUGGAUUGGGUACUGUCUUUUGCAAGAAGCAGGAGUAUCUGUUCAUACAGGUACAACCAAUACCAUUUUCUCGACCUGAGAUCAGGCAAGAUUACGCGCUGAACUUAA
rnacentral:misc_RNA from 1 species